rnacentral:rRNA from 1 species
AUACAGAGGGUGCGAGCGUUAAUCGGAUUUACUGGGCGUAAAGCGUGCGUAGGCGGCUUUUUAAGUCGGAUGUGAAAUCCCUGAGCUUAACUUAGGAAUUGCAUUCGAUACUGGGAAGCUAGAGUAUGGGAGAGGAUGGUAGAAUUCCAGGUGUAGCGGUGAAAUGCGUAGAGAUCUGGAGGAAUACCGAUGGCGAAGGCAGCCAUCUGGCCUAAUCCUGACGCUGAGGUACGAAAGCACGGGGAGCAAACAGGAUUAGAAACCCCAGUAGUCC